rnacentral:ribozyme from 1 species
ACAAACAAACAACAAAACAACAAACAAAAAACAACAAACAACAUUAGAUCUUCUUGUUUUGUCCCUCUUUCUCUUCUUCCUCCCUUUCUCUUCUUUGUUGUUUCUUCUUUCUCUCCUUUCUCUCUCACAACAAACAAGGUCAUAUCCAAACAAUGGUGCCAUGUUGUCUGUGGGGAGUUAUUUU